rnacentral:rRNA from 1 species
CCUACARGGAGGCAGCAGCGGGGAAUCUUGCGCAAUGGGCGAAAGCCUGACGCAGCAACGCCGCGUGGGUGACGAAGGCCUUCGGGUUGUAAAUCCCUUUUGCCGGAGACGAAGAUCUGACGGUAUCCGGCGAAUAAGCCACGGCUAACUACGUGCCAGCAGCCGCGGUAAUACGUAGGUGGCGAGCGUUAUCCGGAUUUACUGGGCGUAAAGCGUACGUAGGCGGCCCCGCAAGUCUGUCGUGAAAUCUCCCGGCUCAACCGGGAGGCGCCGAUGGAAACUGCGAGUGCUCGAGGGGCGUAGACGCAAGCGGAAUUCCCGGAGUAGUGGUGGAAUGCGUAGAUACCGGGAGGAACACCAGUGGCGAAAGCGGCUUGCGAGGCGCAUCCUGACGMUGAGGUACGAAAGCGUGGGGAGCGAACCGGAUUAGAUACCCGGGUAGUCCACGCCGUAAACGAUGGAUGCUAGUCGUGGGGGGUAUCGACCCCCUCCGUGACGAAGCUAACGCGAUAAGCAUCCCGCCUGGGGAGUACGGCCGCAAGGCUAAAACUCAAAGGAAUUGACGG